rnacentral:rRNA from 1 species
GACGAACGCUGGCGGCGUGCUUAACACAUGCAAGUCGAACGGGAUCCGGGCUUUCGGGUUUGGUGAGAGUGGCGAACGGGUGAGUAACACGUGAGUAACCUGCCCCCUUCUUUGGGAUAACGUCGGGAAAUCGGCGCUAAUACUGGAUAUUCUUGCUGCAUCGCAUGGUGUGGUUUGGAAAGGGUUUCUGGUGGGGGAUGGGCUCGCGGCCUAUCAGCUUGUUGGUGGGGUGAUGGCCUACCAAGGCUUUGACGGGUAGCCGGCCUGAGAGGGUGUCCGGCCACACUGGGACUGAGACACGGCCCAGGCUCCUACGGGAGGCAGCAGUGGGGAAUAUUGCACAAUGGGCGCAAGCCUGAUGCAGCGACGCCGCGUGAGGGAUGACGGCCUUCGGGUUGUAAACCUCUUUCAGUAUGGAACAAGGAUCCUUCUUUUGGGGGGUUUGAGGGUACGUGCAGAAGAAGCGCCGGCUAACUACGUG